rnacentral:rRNA from 1 species
CCUACGGGUGUCAGCAGUGGGGAAUAUUGGGCAAUGGGCGCAAGCCUGACCCAGCAACGCCGCGUGAAGGAAGAAGGCUUUCGGGUUGUAAACUUCUUUUGUCAGGGAAGAGUAGAAGACGGUACCUGACGAAUAAGCCACGGCUAACUACGUACCAGCAGCUGCGGUAAUACGUAGGUGGCAAGCGUUGUCCGGAUUUACUGGGUGUAAAGGGUGUGUAGCCGGGUUGACAAGUCAGAUGUGAAAUCCUGGGGCUUAACCGCAGAACUGCAUUUGAAACUGUUGAUCUUGAGUACUGGAGAGGCAGACGGAAUGCGUGGUGUAGCAGUGAAAUGCGUAGAUAUUAGGAGGAACACCAGUGGCGAAGGCGGUCUGCUGGACAGCAACUGACGGUGAGGCGCGAAGGCGUGGGGAGCAAACAGGAUUAGAUACCCGUGUAGUC